rnacentral:rRNA from 1 species
GACAGAGGCCUCAAGCGUUAGGCGGAAUCACUGGGCUUAAAGCGUGUGUAGGCGGGUGCCUAAGUACCUUGUGAAAUCCCACGGCUCAACCGUGGAACUGCUGGGUAUACUGGGUGCCUUGGGUCAUCUAGGGGCUGCCGGAACAAAUGGUGGAGCGGUGAAAUGCGUAGAUAUCAUUUGGAACGCCAACGGCGAAAGCAGGCAGCUGGGGAUGCACCGACGCUGAGACACGAAAGCCAGGGGAGCGAACGGG